rnacentral:rRNA from 1 species
AUUGAACGCUGGCGGCAGGCCUAACACAUGCAAGUCGAGCGGAUGAAGGGAGCUUGCUCCUGGAUUCAGCGGCGGACGGGUGAGUAAUGCCUAGGAAUCUGCCUGGUAGUGGGGGACAACGUUUCGAAAGGAACGCUAAUACCGCAUACGUCCUACGGGAGAAAGCAGGGGGCCUUCGGGCCUUGCGCUAUCAGAUGAGCCUAGGUCGGAUUAGCUAGUUGGUGGGGUAAUGGCUGACCAAGGCGACGAUCCGUAACUGGUCUGAGAGGAUGAUCAGUCACACUGGAACUGAGACACGGUCCAGACUCCUACGGGAGGCAGCAGUGGGGAAUAUUGGACAAUGGGCGAAAGCCUGAUCCAGCCAUGCCGCGUGUGUGAAGAAGGUCUUCGGAUUGUAAAGCACUUUAAGUUGGGAGGAAGGGUUGUAGAUUAAUACUCUGCAAUUUUGACGUUACCGACAGAAUAAGCACCGGCUAACUCUGUGCCAGCCGCCGCAGUAACAC